CAGGGAUUGCCCUAGUAACGGCGAGUGAAGCGGCAACAGCUCAAAUUUGAAAUCUGGCGUCUUUGGCGUCCGAGUUGUAAUUUGCAGAGGGCGCUUUGGCGUUGGCAGCGGUCCAAGUUCCUUGGAACAGGACGUCACAGAGGGUGAGAAUCCCGUACGUGGUCGCUGGCCUUCGCCGUGUAAAGCCCCUUCGACGAGUCGAGUUGUUUGGGAAUGCAGCUCUAAAUGGGAGGUAAAUUUCUUCUAAAGCUAAAUACUGGCCAGAGACCGAUAGCGCACAAGUAGAGUGAUCGAAAGAUGAAAAGCACUUUGGAAAGAGAGUUAAAAAGCACGUGAAAUUGUUGAAAGGGAAGCGCUUGCAGCCAGACUUGCCUGUAGUUGCUCAUCCGGGUUUUUACCCGGUGCACUCUUCUGCGGGCAGGCCAGCAUCAGUUUGGGCGGUUGGAUAAAGGUCUCUGUCAUGUACCUCUCUUCGGGGAGAACUUAUAGGGGAGACGACAUGCAACCAGCCUGGACUGAGGUCCGCGCAUCUGCUAGGAUGCUGGCGUAAUGGCUGUAAGCGGCCCGUCUUGAAACACGGACCAAGGAGUCUAACAUCUAUGCGAGUGUUUGGGUGUCAAGCCCGAGCGCGUAAUGAAAGUGAACGGAGGUGGGAACCUUUCGGGGUGCACCAUCGACCGAUCCUGAUGUCUUCGGAUGGAUUUGAGUAAGAGCAUAGCUGUUGGGACCCGAAAGAUGGUGAACUAUGCUUGAAUAGGGUGAAGCCAGAGGAAACUCUGGUGGAGGCUCGCAGCGGUUCUGACGUGCAAAUCGAUCGUCAAAUUUGGGCAUAGGGGCGAAAGACUAAU
rnacentral:rRNA from 1 species